rnacentral:lncRNA from 1 species
AAUCAAACAUCAUACUUGAAAAUAGUGAAAAUUAAAUCAAUCAUGAAAUGCUCAAAUUUUUGUGUCAUACUUUGCGAAGUUGUUCCGACUUCCAUCUCUGAGGGCAGAUACGAAUUUUUGAUUACUUAUGUGGAAUGACCAGAUCAAAUACAAAUAACAAAAAUUUGUUCAUGCACAUUUCAAGUUUACCAAACCAUGGUACGACUAUGACCACAGUCUUACCGACCAUAAUGGUU